AAUAGAUACCCUGGUAGUCCACCCGUAAACGUUGGGAACUAGUUGUGGGUCCUUUCCACGGAUUCCGUGACGCAGCUAACGCAUUAAGUUCCCCGCCUGGGGAGUACGGCCGCAAGGCUAAAACUCAAAGGAAUUGACGGGGACCCGCACAAGCGGCGGAGCAUGCGGAUUAAUUCGAUGCAACGCGAAGAACCUUACCAAGGCUUGACAUACACCAGAACACCCUAGAAAUAGGGGACUCUUUGGACACUGGUGAACAGGUGGUGCAUGGUUGUCGUCAGCUCGUGUCGUGAGAUGUUGGGUUAAGUCCCGCAACGAGCGCAACCCUCGUUCUAUGUUGCCAGCACGUAAUGGUGGGAACUCAUGGGAUACUGCCGGGGUCAACUCGGAGGAAGGUGGGGAUGACGUCAAAUCAUCAUGCCCCUUAUGUCUUGGGCUUCACGCAUGCUACAAUGGCCGGUACAAAGGGCUGCAAUACCGUGAGGUGGAGCGAAUCCCAAAAAGCCGGUCCCAGUUCGGAUUGAGGUCUGCAACUCGACCUCA
rnacentral:rRNA from 1 species